rnacentral:lncRNA from 1 species
GCAAAACCACCCAACCCCUUUCUCCACAAUAUAUGGCCGGAGAAGUUCAAGGGUCCUAAAUGCGAUUUUUAGCCAUCACCAACUAGUAUAAAUAGGACCCUUAUUUGCCUUUCAAAGCAUCCCAUUCAUUCUUCCUUUUCUCUCUUUUCCAUACCCUUUUUCUGCCUCUUGAGAAAGAGUUUGUGAGGCCUUGAGAGUAGCCAUAAUUUGGCUAUAUUGAGGGUGCUUGGCUUAGUUGCGACAGCAAGACAGAAGAUUCAAGGUGGGAGCAAGCAAUUUAUGCCUCGGGAACAUCCAUAAUUGACUAGAGUUUCUUCUUCCCUUUUAAUUUUUGUUCUUGUUCAAUUCAUAAACAUGAUUUCAACUAAGUUUUUUUCUUUCUAAUAGAAUCAUGAUUACUUAAAUUUGUUAGUGUUAGAAUGAUCUGUUUUUCAUAGAUUACUUUAUUCAAUUCUGUUAAUAGUUGUUUUGUGCUUUUGAUCAAUUUAUUCAUGUAAGUAAAAUC